UUAAAAAGAUUUUAAAAAGUGCUAUUGAGG
rnacentral:piRNA from 1 species